GGGCCCGUAGCUUAGUACGGAUAUAGCACUGGCCUUCUAAGCCAGAUGUCCCGGGUUCGAAUCCCGGCGGGCCCG
rnacentral:tRNA from 2 species